GGGGUUGUAGCUCAGUGGUUGAGCAUUUGCCUAACAAGCAUGAGGCCCUGGGCUCAAUCUCU
rnacentral:tRNA from 1 species